GACGAACGCUGGCGGCGUGCUUAACACAUGCAAGUCGAACGGUGAAGCGAGUGCUUGCACUCGUGGAUCAGUGGCGAACGGGUGAGUAACACGUGAGUAACCUGCCCAUCACUCUGGGAUAAGCACUGGAAACGGUGUCUAAUACUGGGUACGACCAACCUUUGCAUGGGGUGUUGGUGGAAAGAUUUAUCGGUGAUGGAUGGACUCGCGGCCUAUCAGCUUGUUGGCGGGGUAAUGGCCCACCAAGGCGACGACGGGUAGCCGGCCUGAGAGGGUGACCGGCCACACUGGGACUGAGACACGGCCCAGACUCCUACGGGAGGCAGCAGUGGGGAAUAUUGCACAAUGGGCGAAAGCCUGAUGCAGCGACGCCGCGUGAGGGAUGACGGCCUUCGGGUUGUAAACCUCUUUCAGCAGGGAAGAAGCGAAAGUGACGGUACCUGCAGAAGAAGCACCGGCUAACUACGUG
rnacentral:rRNA from 1 species